rnacentral:lncRNA from 1 species
AAAUAAACUAGAGAAGAAAAGGUAAAGCUAAAACGUGGGGACAGACUAAGACAAGGUGUACCACGCCACAAUUAGCCUUUCACUGUCUCUCUCAAUUGGUGGGGCGCAUGUUAUCCUUCUCCCAACUAUUGAUCAUUGCUGUCGCCAUUCAAAUCUUUUGUACUAAAGAUUUACUCCAGCAAACAAAAUAAGAUAGUAUCUUAUAUGGUGGAUCAAUAUUUAUUUUUGUAAAUAGGUGACCACGGCCACAAGGGAAUUGUCAACUUCAUUUAUUUAAUGAAAAGGAGGAUAAUUUAUUUUUGUAAAUAGGUGACCACAGCCACAAGGGAAUUGUCAACUUCAUUUAUUUAAUGAAAAGGAGGAUAAGCAUAAUGCCUUUUAACUUGGUUUUGAAGGACAAUUCAUGGCUGGACCAACAAAUUUGAGAAUGUUGUGUGUAGUUGGUUCCUGCACAUCCAGCUAUGCAACUUGUGACAACAUCAAACUGAGCUAUUACUAUUAACUAUUUUGUGCAGUAGAAUCUCCGAUGAGC